AUGACUUAUGAGGCUACCAGGGGCUACUACACCUCCAAAUUAAUGACAGCCUGCAACUUACUUGCUUCCAACACACUAGUAACACAUUCUAAGGUUCGUAAUCGGCUACUUCAGAGCGUUGUUGCUAUUCUGUGGGUAAAGGUCCUCAUUUUGUUGACGGUGGCAUCUUACAAAGAAAAGGAAGUUCGAGAUGGGAACACUUGUUUCAAAUGCUCUCCUCCCAUUCGCGAUGCUUCCAACAAGGAAAACCUCUGGGAAGCUCUGCCGGUAAUGCAAUCUCCUAUCCAUCCCAGCUCCAACUUACUACUGCUAAUCAAUUGUCUGCAUGUAAUAGAAAAGUAG
rnacentral:rRNA from 1 species